AUGAACAGUGAUGGUGAAUGGUGGUGGAUGAGUCACGGACAAUGAAUACUACAUGUCUGGAUUCCGAGGUCCAG
ensembl:snoRNA